AAUAAAAAUAAUUUUAAUAUUAAAAUAGGGGGUUUUAGUAUUUAUAUUAAAAAAAAAUUAUAAAAUUUAUAGUUAAUUAGUAUUGUAAAAGAAAUUUGAAAUAUAAAUGAAAAUAAAUUUAAUUAAAAGUAGAUUUAAAUUAUUGUAUCUUGUGUAUCAGAGUUUAUUAAUUAAAAAUUUAGAUAAAUUAUUUCUCGAAUUUAAAAGAGAUAAUUAAUUAAAAAAUUUAUUGUUGCAUAAAUAUUUUUAAUAAUUAAUUUGAAAUGAAAUGUUAAUCGUUUUUAAAUAUAUCUAGUUUUUUUAGAAAAAAAUUUAAUUUUAUUUAUUAUUUUUUAAUUUAUUAAUUAACGAAAUAAAUUAUAAAAAAUAAUUUAAUAUUUUAAGGGAUAAGCUUUAAAUUAAAUUUUUAUAAUUAUAUUAUCAAAAAUUAAAAUUUUUAAAAUUUAUAUUGUUUAUAAUUUUUAAUUUAUUACAAAUAAUUUUAAUUAAAUUAAAAUUUUUUAAUAAUUUAAAUUUAUAUAAAAAAAAUAUUUUUAAUAAAAUAAAAUUUAUUAUAAUGAUAAAAUUAGUAUUUAAUUAAUGUAUAUACAUAUAUAUAUAUAUAUUAUAUACAAUAUUUAAAAUUAAAAUUAAUCAUAAUUUAAAAAUAAAUUUAAGGAAUUCGGCAAAUAUUUAUAUUCACUUGUUUAUCAAAAACAUGUCUUUUUGAUUAAUAAUAUAAAGUCUAAUCUGCCCACUGAUAAAUUAUUAAAGGGCUGCAGUAUAUUGACUGUACAAAGGUAGCAUAAUCAUUAGUCUCUUAAUUGGUGACUUGUAUGAAAGAUUGGAUGAAAUAUAGACUGUCUCAAAUUUAAUUAAAUAAAUUAAUUUUUUGAUUAAAAAGUCAAAAUUAUUUUAAAAGACGAGAAGACCCUAUAGAGUUUUAUAAAUUUAUUAAUUUAAGUUAAUUAUAUAAAUAAUAAUUAGAAUUAAUAAAUUUAUUUUGUUGGGGUGAUAAAAAAAUAAAAAUAACUUUUUUUAAAAUAAAUUCAUAAAUAAGUGAUUAACUGAUCCAAAAUUUUUGAUUAAAAGAAAAAAUUACCUUAGGGAUAACAGCGUAAUUUUUUCUUUUAGUACAAAUAAAAGAAAAAGUUUGCGACCUCGAUGUUGGAUUAAGAUAAAAUUUAGAUGCAAAAGUUUAAAAUUUUGAUCUGUUCGAUCAUUAAAAUCUUACAUGAUCUGAGUUCAAACCGGUGUGAGCCAGGUUGGUUUCUAUCUUUAAAUUAUUAAAAUAUUUUAGUACGAAAGGAAUAAAUAUUUAAAUUAAAUUUAUAAUUAAAGAAUUUCAUU
rnacentral:rRNA from 1 species